ensembl:misc_RNA Y_RNA Y RNA
CCAAGUGCAGUGGUGUUUACAACUAAUCAAUAACAGCCAGUUAAAGAUUUCUUUGUUCCUACUCCAUUCCCAUUGCUUCACUUG